UGCCUAAAAUUAGUCCCAUGUAUCCUGUU
rnacentral:piRNA from 1 species